rnacentral:rRNA from 1 species
UAAGGAAUAUUGGUCAAUGGGCGGAAGCCUGAACCAGCCAUGCCGCGUGCAGGAAGACGGCCCUACGGGUUGUAAACUGCUUUUAUACGGGAAUAAACCCACCUACGAGUAGGUGGCUGAAUGUACUGUAAGAAUAAGGAUCGGCUAACUCCGUGCCAGCAGCCGCGGUAAUACGGAGGAUCCAAGCGUUAUCCGGAUUUAUUGGGUUUAAAGGGUGCGUAGGCGGCCUGUUAAGUCAGGGGUGAAAGACGGUAGCUCAACUAUCGCAGUGCCCUUGAUACUGAUGGGCUUGAAUAUACUAGAGGUAGGCGGAAUGUGACAAGUAGCGGUGAAAUGCAUAGAUAUGUCACAGAACACCAAUUGCGAAGGCAGCUUACUAUGGUAUGAUUGACGCUGAGGCACGAAAGCGUGGGGAUCAAACA